AACGGCCGUACCAUGCUGAAUAUACCGGUUCUCGUUAGAUCACCGAAGUUAAGCAUCAUUGGGCGCGGUCAGUACAAGGGGGUGACCACCUGGGAACAUUCCAUUGCCGU